CAACUGCCUUAAAAUUUGUUAUAUCAUUGGCCCUAGUAUUUUCCUUCUAUUAUAGAAAGCUAGGCUCUUAGUGGCUUUUAGGCAUGAAACACUGCCAAAGAAGUUACAAAUAAGGUGAUUCAAACCUUUUAUUUGUCACCUCAUUUAUCCAAAUGUCAAAUUGCAAGCAAACGUAUUCUGGGUUAACAGGCAGAUAGUCAAAAACAAAAAAGGACUUCAACAACAACCUUAAUUCCAAACUAGUUGGGUUUAGCUAUAUGGAUAAACAAAUAGCUCAAAGCAAAGCUAAAUUCACCAUUAUGCUUUACAUGUGAAUUGCAACACAAGCGUGUGUGUGU
rnacentral:misc_RNA from 1 species